rnacentral:rRNA from 1 species
CCUACGGGAGACAGCAGUGGGGAAUAUUGCACAAUGGGGGAAACCCUGAUGCAGCGACGCCGCGUGAGUGAAGAAGUAAUUCGUUAUGUAAAGCUCUAUCAGCAGGGAAGAAAAUGACGGUACCUGAGUAAGAAGCCCCGGCUAACUACGUGCCAGCAUCCGCGGGAAUACGUAGGGGGCAAGCGUUAUCCGGAUUUACUGGGUGUAAAGGGAGCGUAGACGGCAGUGCAAGUAUGGAGUGAAAGGCGGGGGCUCAACCCCCGGACUGCUGUGGAAACUGUACGGCUGGAGUGCAGGAGGGGUAAGUGGAAUUCCUAGGUUAGCGGUGAAAUGCGUAGAUAUUAGGAGGAACACCAGUGGCGAAGGCGGCUUACUGGACUGUAACUGACGUUGAGGCUCGAAAGCGUGGGGAGCAAACAGGAUUAGAUACCCGGUAGUC